AUUGAACGCUGGCGGCAUGCCUUACACAUGCAAGUCGAACGGCAGCACGGGGCAACCUGGUGGCGAGUGGCGAACUGGUGAGUAAUGCAUCGGAACGUACCUUUCAGUGGGGGAUAACGUAGCGAAAGUUACGCUAAUACCGCAUAUUCUGUGAGCAGGAAAGCAGGGGAUCGCAAGACCUUGCGCUGAUUGAGCGGCCGAUGUCAGAUUAGCUAGUUGGUUGGGUCAAGGCUCGCCAAGGCGACGAUCUGUAGCGGGUCGGAGAGGAUGAUCCGCCACACUGGAACUGAGACACGGUCCAGACUCCUAAGGGAGGCAGCAGUGGGGAAUGUUGGACAAUGGGGGCAACCCUGAUCCAGCCAUGUCGCGUGAGUGAAGAAGGCCUUCGGGUUGUAAAGCUCUUUCGGCCGGGAAGAAAUCGCACGGGCUAAUACCCUGUGUGGAUGACGGUACCGGAAUAAGAAGCACCGGCUAACUACGUGCCAGCAGCCGCCGUAAGAC
rnacentral:rRNA from 1 species